CGUAUUUUCCGCGCUAUAAGCCGCACUUAAAAACCAAAAAUUUUCUCAAAAGAUGACAGUGCGGCUUAUAACCCGGUGCGCCUUAUAUAUGUAUUAAUAUAAAUAUUUAUUUUCAUAGAGUUUAGGUUUCGCAACUACGGUAAACAGCCGCCAUCUUUUUUCCCCGUAGAAGAGGAAGCGCUUCUUCUUCUACGGUAAGCAACCGCCAAAGUAAGCGCCCGCCCACCUGGAAAGAGGAAGUGCUUCUUCUUCUACGGUAAGCACCCGCCCACCUGGAAAGAGGAAGCGCUUCUUCUUCUACGGUACGCAACCGCCAAGGUAAGCACCCGCCCCCGUAGAAGAAGAAGCGCGCGGCUAAUCCGAAUUCAAACUCAAGGAAAUAAGUCACGCAGAAGAACACGGAAAUAGAGCAGCAGCGAGAGAAUUGAACAUAAAUGAAUCAAUGGUGCUUAGGUGGAGGAAGCAACAAGAUGACCUGCGCUAAGUAAAGAAGACAACACAGAGUUUGAGGGAACAAAGCAAGAUGGCAACAGUUGGAGGACAAACUCGAGCAGCAAGCAGAAGUGUCAGUACCAUCACUAUUCCAAUGAAGGCAACAGCGCCAGCAAGCGAACUUCACUUGGAUGAUUUUAAAAGGUGGUGCUUCUUGGUGUUUCCGGUUCAUGAAAAGACGCAAUCUCUCCAUCCGCACACGGACUACUAUUUCACAGUAACUGCCAAAAGACUUUCAAGAAAAGCUGGCUACUUUCCACGCAUAUUGUAAAAACAAGAUAGCUGAAAAAAGAUCCGGCCAGGAAGGCAGGAUUCAUGGAACUGUCGGACAGCAACAGCGACACUGACUCUGAUGACUUCGACAAGACGGAGCCCGCCAUUUUGGAUGUUGUAUUCGCCCAAUUUUUUAAUUCAGACACCGAAGAAGAAAAAUUCGAGGGAUUUAUGGAUGAGGAAUAACUUCUGAAGAUCCCAUUGCUACCAAACCUGCAGGACAGUGUGUUUGCCUGUCUGUCUAUCUGUGAUACAAGGACCUCUGAGGAGGGCGCUACAAAUGACCCAUCUGCCAAGGAGUCUGCCAGUCGGUCUGUCUGGCUCUCCACAGCUCACCAGCUAAUCUAAGCAGAGUGGCAGAGUGAGGUGAGGGUGAGGUCGCCUGCUCAGCCCAUCUGGUCAGCAGCAGUCCGACAAAAGCAAGGGAGAGAGGGAACGUCCAGGCUCCAACAUAGGAGAUGACCGCUGCCACCUCAGUUGUCUAAGUCCCAUUAGCUCAUCCACAGUGACCUAUGACCUUUGUGCCAAGUGAAGCAUCUCCAUUAGAGCUGGUUGCUGCCUCAACAUAAUCAUGUGUGAGCGGCUCAGUGAAUUUACUUGUGGUUAAAGUGUCCGCCCUGAGAUCGGUAGGUCGUGAGAUUAAACCCCGGUUGAGUCCUACCAAAGACUACAAAAAUGGGACCCAUUACCUCCAUGCUUGGUACUCUGCAUCAAGGGUUGGAAUUGGGGGGGAAAUCACCACAAAUGAUUCCCGAGCAGGGUCAC